UACGUAGGGGGCAAGCGUUGUCCGGAACUAUUGGGCGUAAAGCGCGCCCAGGCGGCCUUUUAAGUCUGAUGUGAAAUCUUGCGGCUUAACCGCAAGCGGUCAUUGGAAACUGGAGGGCUUGAGUACAGGAGAGGAGAGCGGAAUUCCACGUGUAGCGGUGAAAUGCGUAGAUAUGUGGAGGAACACCAGUGGCGAAGGCGGCUCUCUGGUCUGUAACUGACGCUGAGGCGCGAAAGCGUGGGGAGCAAGCAGG
rnacentral:misc_RNA from 1 species